CCUACGGGUGGCAGCAGUGGGGAAUAUUGCACAAUGGGCGCAAGCCUGAUGCAGCCAUGCCGCGUGUGUGAAGAAGGCCUUCGGGUCGUAAAGCACUUUCAGCGGGGAGGAAGGCGGUGAGGUUAAUAACCUCAUCGAUUGACGUUACCCGCAGAAGAAGCACCGGCUAACUCCGUGCCAGCAACCGCGGUAAUACGGAGGGUGCAAGCGUUAAUCGGAAUUACUGGGCGUAAAGCGCACGCAGGCGGUCUGUCAAGUCGGAUGUGAAAUCCCCGGGCUCAACCUGGGAACUGCAUUCGAAACUGGCAGGCUAGAGUCUUGUAGAGGGGGGUAGAAUUCCAGGUGUAGCGGUGAAAUGCGUAGAGAUCUGGAGGAAUACCGGUGGCGAAGGCGGCCCCCUGGACAAAGACUGACGCUCAGGUGCGAAAGCGUGGGGAGCAAACAGGAUUAGAUACCCGUGUAGUC
rnacentral:rRNA from 1 species